rnacentral:rRNA from 1 species
GAUGAACGCUGGCGGCGUGCCUAAUACAUGCAAGUAGAACGCUGAAGGAGGAGCUUGCUCUUCUGGAUGAGUUGCGAACGGGUGAGUAACGCGUAGGUAACCUGCCUGGUAGCGGGGGAUAACUAUUGGAAACGAUAGCUAAUACCGCAUGACAACAGUUAUUGCAUGAUAACUGUUUAAAAGGGGCAACUGCUCCACUACCAGAUGGACCUGCGUUGUAUUAGCUAGUUGGUGAGGUAACGGCUCACCAAGGCGACGAUACAUAGCCGACCUGAGAGGGGGAUCGGCCACACUGGGACUGAGACACGGCCCAGACUCCUACGGGAGGCAGCAGUAGGGAAUCUUCGGCAAUGGACCGAAGUCUGACCGAGCAACGCCGCGUGAGUGAAGAAGGUUUUCGGAUCGUAAAGCUCUGUUGUAAGAGAAGAACGAUUGUGAGAGUGGAAAGUUCACAAUGUGACGGUAUCUUACCAGAAAGGGACGGCUAACUACGUG